rnacentral:tRNA from 1 species
AUAGCUCAGUGGCACAGCACCUGCCUGGCAAGCAUGAGGUCCUGAGUUCAGUUCUCAGU